AUUGAACGCUGGCGGCAUGCCUUACACAUGCAAGUCGAACGGUAACAGGUCUUCGGAUGCUGACGAGUGGCGAACGGGUGAGUAAUACAUCGGAACGUGCCUAGUAGUGGGGGAUAACUACUCGAAAGAGUGGCUAAUACCGCAUGAGAUCGACGGAUGAAAGCAGGGGAUCGCAAGACCUUGUGCUACUCGAGCGGCCGAUGGCAGAUUAGGUAGUUGGUGGGAUAAAAGCUUACCAAGCCGACGAUCUGUAGCUGGUCUGAGAGGACGAUCAGCCACACUGGGACUGAGACACGGCCCAGACUCCUACGGGAGGCAGCAGUGGGUAAUUUUGGACAAUGGGCGAAAGCCUGAUCCAGCAAUGCCGCGUGCAGGAUGAAGGCCUUCGGGUUGUAACUGCUUUUGUACGGAACGAAAAGCCCCGGGUUAAUACCCUGGGGUCAUGACGGUACCGUAAGAAUAAGCACCGGCUAACUACGUGCCAGCCGCCGCGGUAA
rnacentral:rRNA from 1 species